GAAAGCUGAAAGACAUGGGUAGUGAGAUGUUGAUUUGAACUACUCAUCUCACUACCUUGUCUUUCACGCUGGA
rfam:Orchesella cincta Ocin01_Sc0482, whole genome shotgun sequence.